UAGAAGCCGUCCCCCUAGCCCCGCAAAG
rnacentral:sRNA from 1 species